AAUCACAAAAUCACAAAAGGUGCUUAUUGUGAUAACGUAAGGGAAAAAAUUGAUAUCACCUUACUAUAAGUGUUGUCUAAAUAACUGGUGCCAGAAGACUCGGUAACACCAGAAACGCGAACGUUAGUCGUCUUAAACAGGCGUAAAGGGUAAGUAGGCUGCUUUAAACGUCUAUUUUUUUUUAAAGCUAAUUAAUAAAUUAACCUAAAAUUUUUCAGACCUUAAAAUAUAAAUUAAGGCUAACUAAUAAUGAAAAAGGUAAUUAUUAAAAAAAGAUAGAUACACUUAAAGCUAGAAUCAUAAUUGAGAUAAACCAAAUAAUACUUAUGUGUAAGGGCGAUAUCUGAAAAUACUAAGUAGAAUACUAACGGUGAAAACUUUUUAUCUAGGAAUGAUUGACGCUGAGGUACGAAAGUGAGAACAGGGAAUAGGAUUAGAUACCCAGUUACCUCUCACCGUCAACGAUGAAUGGUAGUUGUUAGUUUAAUUAAAUUAGUGACGAUGUUAACGCGAUAACCAUUCCGCCUUGAGAGUACGGUUGCAAAACUGAAACCAAAAAAAUUAGUCGGUCUCGGAGCAAAC
rnacentral:rRNA from 1 species